GACGAACGCUGGCGGCGUGCUUAACACAUGCAAGUGGAGCGACGAACCAGGCUUCGGCCUGGGGCAGAGCCGCGAACGGGUGAGUAACACGUGGGUAACCUGCCUCGAUGACCGGGACAACCCGGGGAAACCCGGGCUAAUACCGGAUGUGCUGCUCUCACAUCAGUGAGAGCUGGAAAGGAAGCUUCGGCCUCCGCAUCGAGAUGGGCCCGCGGCCCAUUAGCUCGUUGGUGGGGUAACGGCUCACCAAGGCCGCGAUGGGUAGCUGGUCUGAGAGGACGAUCAGCCACACUGGGACUGAGACACGGCCCAGACUCCUACGGGAGGCAGCAGUGGGGAAUCUUGCGCAAUGCGCGAAAGCGUGACGCAGCAACGCCGCGUGGGGGAAGAAGGCCUUCGGGUUGUAAACCCCUUUCAGGAGGGACGAAGGUCGGGCGGUGAAUAGCCGACCCGACUGACGGUACCUCCGCAAGAAGCCCCGGCUAACUACGUGCCAGCCGCCGCAGUAAGAC
rnacentral:rRNA from 1 species